CCUACGGGAGGCAGCAGUGGGGGAUAUUGCACAAUGGGGGGAACCCUGAUGCAGCGCCGCCGCGUGGGUGAAGAAGCGCCUCGGCGCGUAAAGCCCUGUCAGCAGGGAAGAAAAUGACGGUACCUGAAGAAGAAGCCCCGGCUAACUACGUGCCAGCAGCCGCGGUAAUACGUAGGGGGCAAGCGUUAUCCGGAUUUACUGGGUGGAAAGGGGGCGCAGACGGCGAUGCAAGCCAGGAGUGAAAGCCCGGGGCCCAACCCCGGGACUGCUCUUGGAACUGCGUGGCUGGAGUGCAGGAGGGGCAGGCGGAAUUCCUGGUGUAGCGGUGAAAUGCGUAGAUAUCAGGAGGAACACCGGUGGCGAAGGCGGCCUGCUGGACUGCAACUGACGUUGAGGCCCGAAAGCGUGGGGAGCAAACAGGAUUAGAUACCCUAGUAGUC
rnacentral:rRNA from 1 species